rnacentral:rRNA from 1 species
UACGGGGGGGGCAAGCGUUGUUCGGAAUUACUGGGCGUAAAGAGUGUGUAGGCGGUGUUCCCAGUCUGUUGUGAAAUCUCCCGGCUUAACUGGGAGGGUGCAGCGGAAACUAGAAUGCUAGAGGGUGGGAGAGGUAAGCGGAAUUCCUGGUGUAGCGGUGAAAUGCGUAGAUAUCAGGAGGAACACCUGUGGUGUAGGCAGCUUACUGGACCACUUCUGACGCUGAGACACGAAAGCGUGGGUAGCAAACAGG